rnacentral:lncRNA from 1 species
GGGUCAAACCUGCUGAGAACUUCGGCUGUGGGUAUUUUAUACCCAACAUUAAGUAUAAAUAUUUAACUUGAAUCUUUACUCUCUAUAGUUUAUUGUGUCAGCUUCCAACCUUGUAGCUCGAAUCUUAGAUAUCAACCAUUUAAUCAAAAUCAAUUACAUAGACCACCUUAGAAACCUAAGAAUCAUUCUUAGCUUUGAAAAAUUAAACCAUGUUCUUGACCAGGAUAUCCUUGUGUUACCAGCUCAUCUAAUCUAAAGUCAACGAGCUAUACUUAUAAGUCGAUGGAUAAUGACAAUAAGAGUAGGUGCCA